rnacentral:rRNA from 1 species
CCUACGGGGGGCAGCAGUGGGGAAUAUUGGACAAUGGGGGCAACCCUGAUCCAGCCAUGCCGCGUGUGUGAAGAAGGCCCUCGGGUUGUAAAGCACUUUCAGUGAGGAAGAACGCCUGGUGGUUAAUACCCAUCAGGAAAGACAUCACUCACAGAAGAAGCACCGGCUAACUCCGUGCCAGCAGCCGCGGUAAUACGGAGGGUGCGAGCGUUAAUCGGAAUUACUGGGCGUAAGCGCGCGUAGGUGGCUUGAUAAGCCGGUUGUGAAAGCCCCGGGCUCAACCUGGGAACGGCAUCCGGAACUGUCAAGCUAGAGUGCAGGAGAGGAAGGUAGAAUUCCCGGUGUAGCGGUGAAAUGCGUAGAGAUCGGGAGGAAUACCAGUGGCGAAGGCGGCCUUCUGGACUGACACUGACACUGAGGUGCGAAAGCGUGGGUAGCAAACAGGAUUAGAUACCCUAGUAGUC